ACCGAAUAGAUACCCAGGUAGUCCACGCCCUAAACGAUGCGAACUGGAUGUUGGGUACAUUACGGUACUCAGUGUCGAAAGCUAAACGCGUUAAGUUCGCCGCCUGGGGAGUACGGUCGCAAGACUGAAACUCAAAGGAAUUGACGGGGGCCCGGCACAAGCGGUGGAGUAUGUGGUUUAAUUACGAUGCAACGCGAAGAACCUUACCUGGCCUUGACAUCUGUCGAAUCCUGCAGAGAUGCGGGAGUGCCGCAAGGAACGACAAGACAGGUGCUGCAUGGCUGUCGUCAGCUCGUGUCGUGAGAUGUUGGGUUAAGUCCCGCAACGAGCGCAACCCUUGUCCCUAGUUGCCAGCACGUAAUGGUGGGAACUCUAGGGAGACUGCCGGUGACAAACCGGAGGAAGGUGGGGAUGACGUCAAGUCCUCAUGGCCCUUA
rnacentral:rRNA from 1 species